rnacentral:lncRNA from 1 species
AGGGAACCCUGUCCCUGCAAAGGUACCCCCAGCAAGCCCAGCAGCCUGGACAUCCCUCCAGCUGCAUCCACGCUGGACACCGGACUGACCCCUUGAACAGGAUGGCGGCGUCACCCAUUCUCAGAGGAAGGGAAGGCCAGAGCUGCCACCAAGGAGGGAAGCAGAGCCCCGUGGCUGUGGGAAGGACUGACCCUUUGCAGGCUGACAACAUGACAAUGCCAUGACCCAGAUGGGAGUGCAGAGCAGGUCUGGACUGACAGGACAGUCAUCCAUGACCACAUCAGCCUGACAUUCCCUGAUGAUGGCAACGGGAUGAACUCGGAGCAGCUGCACAAAAUACUAAGGUGGAGAACCCCUCUCUGUAGGAAUUCCAGCUCCUCCUUCUGUUAGUGCUC